rnacentral:misc_RNA from 1 species
UUCCAAUCAAAUCUCAAUGAAUUUUUUACUCCUUCACCAUCGUUCAAUAAAUGUUCCUCUUUCACCUACCACAGAGCAUCCAAUAUGAAGGCAAUGAUGUCUUCACUGGGCAAAAGCCAAUGCAAUGGACAAAAAUAUGUAAUCAAAUGAAGAAAAUAUAUCGAACGUUACAUAAAGAAGAAAAUAGAUAACUUUAUUGACCAAUGCAUAACUAGCAAAUUACAACUCAGUAACCAUCUUUGCUAGCUUAAAUGACCAAACUUAAAAAUACUGGCAAGACCUUCAAAACAGAAUCACAUAUCAGACACAACAAUUGAAUGCCGGUGU